AUUGGUGGAUUUGAAAGUCCUUGUCUCCAUCUUAUCCCAGUUGCUUCUUUUCUUCGGGGAAGCUGGUCUGCUUUUCUUUUCUCUCAAGAAGUUCACUCUGCCAUGGGUAAAAAUCAUCAGUGCUAAUGAGACACAAUAAUACUGUUUAAAAAAAGAAAAAGAAAUAACACAUCUGUCAUGAACUCCCACCAGAUCUCUUGGCAAUGAGACAUUUUAAAUAUUUUAUGCUGAACACAAGAUAUAUUGAGGAAAUAGUUUUCUAUUCUGUAUCCCAAAACAAAGCCAUCAGCGUCAGUGAGGAGCACGACUAAAACAUUUCACUUUAAAUUACUUCACUUAAAAUUGCCUCAGACUUAGCAUAUGUAUUCUAUUGGAGAUAUAUGUUUUCCCAAUUAUAAACUAGGACAACAUUAAAAACUUAUAAAAAAAUAGGAGAUAUUCUAUUAAGUGUGAAAGCUUUUAUGAUACUAUACCACAAUAGUAUUGUAUUUUACUUCAUUGGCUAGAGACAACCUGUGUUUUGAGUAUGUUAGUAUUAAUGAACAAAAUGGUUUGGUUUGUUUGUAUAUAUAAAAAACUGAACACUGGUGGUAAUUACGGAGAAUGCUGUCCUUACCACCAGUGAAGGAAAGAGAUUCUGAGGUUAAGUCAACACAAUUUGAGCAGCCUGUUCCUGCUCGGUGUCGACUUCCUCAGCACCCUCCAGUCCUUCCCAGUCACAUAAGGAAGUGUGCUCUCUCUUCAUAUUAGCUUCUGCUUUUAAUCUUUUCCAGGAUAUUUGGGGGCAUAGGGGAGGAAACUCCUAUUCUCUAGGCAAAGUCUUUGUGCACAUGUCCUUCAGUGACUGGCUAACAUUCUAAAGAUUUAGAAAACAAAGAAAAGAAUAAGUCUAUGCAUUACCAUGGUUUCUUUCCUAGGUUUUGAACAUUUUGCACAGUAUAAGAGGGUGGGUUUUUUUUUUCAGUUUGAGGUGUCACUUUUUUAAAUCAUAGAAACAAGUAAUAAAUGUCCAAACUGUUUCCUAUAAGUCAAGUUCUCCAGCAUUUAAAAUGAUAAAGUCUGGCAAUGGUCUCAGCAUCUGGCUGAGACAUUAAAUCCUGCUUCCCUGCUUUUACUAAUCAGAUGCUAAGGAUGGUUUCAGUUACAGAACAAAGUCUCUCUUAAGGUCGUUAACCUUCUGUUCUUAUCUGCCAUUUAGAACAAACUGCACCAAGAACACUUAACAUCCAAAAUGACUUUUUACAUUUGAAUUUUAUCUGCAUUCUUUUCUUCAUACAUCAAAUCUAUGCUACUAAACUGGGUGUGUGAUUCACUCAAUCCCAGUACUCAGGAGGCACAAGAAAGUGGAUAUCUGUAAAGUUUUAGGUCAGGCUGGUCUACAUAGUAAGUUGCAAGCCAGCCACAACUGCAUCGUCAGAUCUGUCUAGCAUCCCCCCCCCCAAACCCACACAUAUAGAACAGAAAUGCAGCUUGAUCUUCAUGUGGGUCUCCCAACAAGUGGAACAGGGGCAGUCUCUGACUACGUUGCCUGCCUAUGGAUCCCCCGGGCCACCUUGUCUGCCCUCAGUGAGAGAGGAUGCACCUAUAAAUCUGCAGAGAUUUGAUGUGCCAGGGUUGGGGGAUACCCAGGAGGAGCUUCCAGCUUCUCAGAGGAGAAGGGGGAGAGGAGGAGGGACAUGAGUAGGGAGCCAAGAGGAUAAGGGGGAGGGGCUGCAAUUGGGAUAUAAAGUGAGUGAAUGAAUUAAUGAAUAGAUGAGAUAUGAAACAUAAACAUAUGAUGCUGGAGUUUCUCUUUUGUUUACUUAUAUUCUACACCCUUUACUCAAUUAUACAACCAAUAUCAAUCCUUAUUUAAUAAUAGUGCAGCAGGGUGACUAUCCAACUUCUCUUUUAAACUAACUUGGUUUCUUUAAGGAUCUGGAAAAAUGUGAAAUUAGUAGUGUCCUGUCAGAUACAAUUAUGUAAAAUACCUUGUUUCAAAGGUUUAUAUUGCUUCCCAUAGUGCAGGAGAAAACAGUUUCCAUUUUCUAGUGUAUAAUCAGUGAUAGCAUUUUGUGUAUUGCAAUGACAGUCCUGAGACAGUGACUUAUUCCUAGGAGGAGCCAACACUCUAGUGUAAGGAAAUUGCUUCCUUCUUACACAAUACUUUUACAGAAAUUU
rnacentral:lncRNA from 1 species